GCUGAUGUAGCUUAGUUGGUAAAGCACUCGAUUCGUAAUCGAAAGACCGAGGGUUCGAGUCCCUCCAUCAGCUCCA
rnacentral:tRNA from 1 species